rnacentral:lncRNA from 1 species
GCUCCCCAAAAAUUCCACGUGAGCCAGCCUCGGACUGGACUGGAAUUACAUUACUGUGAAACUUGGAAGACAGAAGAGCUUUCUUUUUUUCUCCUCCCUAGUGCUAUAAAUCAAACCAUUUCCAAAUUCUUCAUCAAUCUCCGGCUUUCAGGAAGUUAUAAGGAAAGUGGAACAGAGAGAGGGUAUUGUAACUGACGGAGAAGAAAAUAUCUACUCUUUGCAAUCCUUGUUGGAGCAGCUUGGUGUUCAUUUCACUGCAGGCUGUAUUGAAAAGUGAUUACCUGGGAGGGUUUUAGUUACAUUGGACUUCAACAAAGGCAGCACCAGAUGAUCAAGAAGCAUUUUAAACGCAAGCUCAGGCCUUCUUUAUUUUUUAUGAACUGCUUACUAGCCCCCAUGGCUAAUGCUUUGAGUUGGCUCAUUUGCUUCUGUAGCCAUAGGAUCUUCCAGAGAGGGACCUUUUCCCUCUCACCGGAUUGCAGCACAGACUGCCAGACCCACUGUCUCAUAGACUGCGGGCAGGGACAUUACUACGUAGCUGGCAACUGCUUGGAAUGUCCGACAGGUUUCUAUUGCCCUGGGGGUCAAGCAGCUCCGAGGAAAUGCCCGCUGGGAACAGCCAAUGAACUUACUGCUCAAGCAGAGAUCACAGCCUGCCGGGUAAGCUGAAGGGCAGGGGAAGAGAGCAAGGGAGUGAAGUAGUACUCUUUGCCUCGACUCCCAUGUAUUUUGAAUCAUCUGAUUUCAGGCUUCUUC